CGGGAGGCAGCAGUGGGGAAUAUUGGACAAUGGGCGCAAGCCUGAUCCAGCCAUGCCGCGUGAGUGACGAAGGUCUUCGGAUUGUAAAGCUCUUUUGGCGGGGACGAUAAUGACGGUACCCGCAGAAUAAGCCCCGGCUAACUUCGUGCCAGCAGCCGCGGUAAU
rnacentral:rRNA from 1 species